rnacentral:lncRNA from 1 species
UGAAAACCUGCAUCCGAAGAUGGAUUCUGCGAAUGCAGUGGUUUUGCGUCCUCCUUACUCAUCGUUGUCCUCCCAUGCAUUUAUUCUAUAGGUGUAGUUUGAACGCACAGUCUCCUUUUCAACACUUCUGCCUCUUGCGCCACAUCACGACCUCCAUAUUCCGCCUUUCGUCUCCUCUCCCUCCCUCGGAACUUCGCCUCCUCCCCAAACAACAAUAACAAGCUUAGCGAUGCAGCGCGAGGAGCGGCUCACGGGGCAGAAGCAAGUGAAUCCCACAGCUCAACACCGACAGAUAAUCCUCUCCACAAAGCCGGCCUUCCCCUUCUGGAACAAUGCUCUCAUUUACACCAGAGUGACCCUCAACUUGGUGGAGGAGAAGGCUGCGAGCAGCGCAGGCGGAGGGAGACGAACGCUGGGGGUGAUUUUUAGGAGAAAAGGCCCAACCUUUUUUGCUUUUUGCUCAGGACAGGCUCACGACUACAGUACUGCUAGGCCUCAACUCUGCAGGCAGCGCACCGACGAGGUGCAGGACUGGCCCAGACACACGCUCUGCGACAGAGGCCCGCCCUCGACCUGCGAUGGCCAAGACAAACGCAGCAAACAGCAGCUGCGAGGGUCCCAACGAGGGGACGCGUUACCAGGCUGCUCCUCAAAGAGCUGGACAGAUCACACCAGGCGACAGGCGCACACACACAGACACACACACACACACACACACACACACACACACACACACACACACACACACACACACACACUUAUUUCAAAGCCCCGCCCCUCCGUCCUCCGUCCUGUUGUCGUUUGCCCACUCAGAGCAGGAGCAGGUGACUCACGCCGGCUCCUGCGCUGUGACUCCUGCUUCCACAGCGGGCGCCGCGACCGCUCCGCUGAUUGGGAUCUCCCGCUGGGAGCGUCGCUGAUUAGGACGUGGUCAGACGCGCGGCAGCGGCUGUUUUCAUGCGGUUCACGGUCAAUUCAGCCUCUCAGCAACAAGAUGCGCCGGCCCUCGUGCCUGUUGAUUAUCGGUCACAUGAACGCGCCGCGAGCAGCUUCGUAAUCUACGAAUGAACGCGCUCUGUCCUUGACCCCACAAAUCACAUCCAGUGGACUGUGAUAGUUAAUGUCUGUGAAGUUAUUGGACAGGUGCAUUACACACAAUAAUACAAAAAUGGAAACAA